rnacentral:rRNA from 1 species
UUGACCUCAAAUCAGGUAGGAUUACCCGCUGAACUUAAGCAUAUCAAUAACGGAAG